GAAAAUCUAAUUCAAUAAGCGGAGGAAAAGAAACCAACAGGGAUUGCCCUAGUAACGGCGAGUGAAGCGGCAACAGCUCAAAUUUGAAAUCUGGCGUCUUUGGCGUCCGAGUUGUAAUUUGCAGAGGGCGCUUUGGCAUUGGCAGCGGUCCAAGUUCCUUGGAACAGGACGUCACAGAGGGUGAGAAUCCCGUACGUGGUCGCUAGCCUUUACCGUGUAAAGCCCCUUCGACGAGUCGAGUUGUUUGGGAAUGCAGCUCUAAAUGGGAGGUAAAUUUCUUCUAAAGCUAAAUACUGGCCAGAGACCGAUAGCGCACAAGUAGAGUGAUCGAAAGAUGAAAAGCACUUUGGAAAGAGAGUUAAAAAGCACGUGAAAUUGUUGAAAGGGAAGCGCUUGCAGCCAGACUUGCCUGUAGUUGCUCAUCCGGGUUUUUACCCGGUGCACUCUUCUACGGGCAGGCCAGCAUCAGUUUGGGCGGUUGGAUAAAGGUCUCUGUCAUGUACCUCCUCUCGGGGAGAUCUUAUAGGGGAGACGACAUGCAACCAGCCUGGACUGAGGUCCGCGCAUCUGCUAGGAUGCUGGCGUAAUGGCUGUAAGCGGCCCGUCUUGAAACACGGACCAAGGAGUCUAACAUCUAUGCGAGUGUUUGGGUGUCAAGCCCGAACGCGUAAUGAAAGUGAACGGAGGUGGGAACCUUUCGGGGUGCACCAUCGACCGAUCCUGAUGUCUUCGGAUGGAUUUGAGUAAGAGCAUAGCUGUUGGGACCCGAAAGAUGGUGAACUAUGCUUGAAUAGGGUGAAGCCAGAGGAAACUCUGGUGGAGGCUCGCAGCGGUUCUGACGUGCAAAUCGAUCGUCAAAUUUGGGCAUAGGGGCGAAAGACUAAUCGAACUAUCUAGUAGCUGGUUCCUGCCGAAGUUUCCCUCCCCCCGCAGGAAUAAAA
rnacentral:rRNA from 1 species